GUGUUAAACAUGCUAGAAAAAGAUAUUUUGAAAAUUUUGCUUAGCCAUGGUAUUUUGACCCCCCUGCGGUAUAUUGAACCCCCUACUUAAAACCACAAAUUAAAAAAAUGAUAGCCAAUAAAUUGUAAAUUAGAUUAUCUGCAAUACUAUUUAUCAAAAACAGGGGGGUUCAAUAUACCGCAGGGGGGUUCAAAAUACCAUAUGUGAAAAAUGACCCCGGGGUCAAAAUACCAUGCGGUAUAAUGACCCCGGGGUCAUUUUACCGCAUGGUAUUUUGACCCCGGGUUCACUUUUUAGGGGGUUCAAAAUACCAUAUGACACCGGGCGUA
rnacentral:lncRNA from 1 species